rnacentral:lncRNA from 1 species
UCAUUUUGAAGCUCCAUUUAGCAGCAUAAAACCACAAAAAGAAAGCCUUGCUAGCUUACUUAAACAUUGGCCAAAGUACAUGUUUACAACAACCAUUACCACAUGGCCAUGCUUUGUACCAUGACAGCAAAAUCAUCACCAUUUUCUUCAUGGCCAUCCCCUAGUGACAGACAAGACCAUGGACAGUAGAAGAAGCAUGGUUGAAACUCAAAAAGGGGAAGCAUAACAAAACCAAACAACAUCAAAGAGCAGGUUGGAUCAUUUCUUCU